AUAGUCUUGUUUCAUUGCUACAUGAUUGCGUUAUUGAGUUUAUUAUAUUAUCUUCAAUACUUUUUAACUUCUCAUCAUCCUUCUUGGUUUCUAGUGGGAUUGAAGCUUGCAUAUCUUCUGCAUGUGUGAAUUCUGUUUCAGGUUUACAUCUUCUUUUACCUUUGAUGAAGAUACUUCUGAGUGCACACUUUUUACUUCAGAUUCAUCCUCAUUCUGGUAUAGUUCCAACUUCAAAUGUAUUUAAUGGAAGAAAACUAGGAGCUGCUUCCAAUCUAUCCAACAUCAUAUCUAAAUCUGCAGUGCUGCUUUCAGUUUGGAUCCAAAAUUCAUCUGGUGAAUUAGUACAACUAAUAUAUACAUUCGGUGAAUUUUCUUCGCCUAAAGGAGGCAGUCGUUCUUCAAUGAUAGGUGGGCAACGUUCACAGAAGUUUGCAAUGUUGCAUCAGUAUCAGAAGAUGGCGUAACACCUAAAAGGGAACAUUCUAUUGCCUGGUUCUGCAUAACUGAAAGUUCUCCUGGUAAAGCUAAGACCUGAAUUAACAGAAUAUGGCAUUAACAAUAAUUGAGGAUAAUCCUACGCGAGUUUUAAUAAACAAAAAUGUAAAAAAGCAAAUAAUAUGUUUUUAUUGUAAUAAACACGUAUAGUGUUUAGGCUCAUGUCCUUAUAUUUAAGCGUGUAUAAGCAUUUUCUGCUUAAUAAUAAUAUACAGGAUGGUCCACGCAAGUUACACACCUCGAUUAACUCCUAAAAUAUGUAUUGUAUCAUUCACGCCAUCAAAAAAAUUAUUCAUAUAAUACAUACUUUAGAAGUUAAUCGUGGUAUGCGAGUUGUAUGGGCCACUGUGUAUAAAGCAAUGCAGUAUUAAAUUAAAAAUGUAUACAUAAUACGUUAGAUAUUAAUAGCCUUAACGAGAUUCUUAUGAAAUUUAUUCUACUAUAAAUAUAUAAUUUGCCAAAAUUUCAAUGCAGCAAGUAUGGUAUUAAAUAACUCCUACACCUAGCAGUAAUGUUAUAUUACCUAUAGUUAAAUUGAAUUUAGCAUGUACAUUCAUGUUGGUUUUUUUUUUAAAA